rnacentral:rRNA from 1 species
GACGAACGCUGGCGGCGUGCUUAACACAUGCAAGUCGAACGGUGAAGCCUUCGGGUGGAUCAGUGGCGAACGGGUGAGUAACACGUGAGCAAUCUGCCCUUGACUCUGGGAUAACUUCGGGAAACCGGAGCUAAUACCGGAUAUGACAUCUGGCCGCAUGGUCUGGGUGUGGAAAGAUUUAUCGGUCAAGGAUGAGCUCGCGGCCUAUCAGCUUGUUGGUGGGGAAUGGCCACCAAGGCGACGACGGGUAGCCGGCCUGAGAGGGCGACCGGCCACACUGGGACUGAGACACGGCCCAGACUCCUACGGGAGGCAGCAGUGGGGAAUAUUGCGCAAUGGGCGGAAGCCUGACGCAGCGACGCCGCGUGAGGGAUGAAGGCCUCGGUCGUAA